rnacentral:tRNA from 1 species
GGGUCUGUAGCUCAGCUGGUUUAGAGCGCUCCUCUGAUAAGGGAGAGGUCCCUGGUUCGAGUCCAGGCAGACCCA